AGUGAACGCUGGCGGUAGGCCUAACACAUGCAAGUCGAACGGCAGCACAGUAAGAGCUUGCUCUUACGGGUGGCGAGUGGCGGACGGGUGAGGAAUACAUCGGAAUCUACUUUUUCGUGGGGGAUAACGUAGGGAAACUGACGCUAAUACCGCAUACGACCUACGGGUGAAAGCAGGGGAUCUUCGGACCUUGCGCGAUUGAAUGAGCCGAUGUCGGAUUAGCUAGUUGGCGGGGUAAAGGCCCACCAAGGCGACGAUCCGUAGCUGGUCUGAGAGGAUGAUCAGCCACACUGGAACUGAGACACGGUCCAGACUCCUACGGGAGGCAGCAGUGGGGAAUAUUGGACAAUGGGCGCAAGCCUGAUCCAGCUAUACCGCGUGGGUGAAGAAGGCCUUCGGGUUGUAAAGCCCUUUUGUUGGGAAAGAAAAGCAGCAGGUUAAUACCCCGCUGUUCUGACGGUACCCAAAGAAUAAGCACCGGCUAACUUCGUG
rnacentral:rRNA from 1 species